rnacentral:rRNA from 1 species
AUCCAUCUCGUAUGGAUUAAAGCUUUAUGCGCUUUUGGGAGGGGGCCUGCGUUUGAUUAGCUAGUUGGUGAGGUAAAAGCUCACCAAGGCGACGAUCAAUAGCUGGUUUGAGAGGAUGACCAGCCACACUGGGACUGAGAUACGGCCCAGACUCCUACGGGAGGCAGCAGUAAGGAAUCUUCCACAAUGGGGCAACCCUGAUGGAGCAAUACCGCGUGCAGGAUGAAGCGUUUCGGCGUGUAAACUGCUUUUAUCACCGAAGAUUAUGACUGUAGGUGAAGAAUAAGGACCGGCUAACUACGUG